GAUGAACGCUGGCGGCGUGCCUAAUACAUGCAAGUCGAGCGAACGGACGAGAAGCUUGCUUUUCUGAUGUUAGCGGCGGACGGGUGAGUAACACGUGGAUAACCUACCUAUAAGACUGGGAUAACUUCGGGAAACCGGAGCUAAUACCGGAUAAUAUUUUGAACCGCAUGGUUCAAAAGUGAAAGACGGUCUUGCUGUCACUUAUAGAUGGAUCCGCGCUGCAUUAGCUAGUUGGUAAGGUAACGGCUUACCAAGGCAACGAUGCAUAGCCGACCUGAGAGGGUGAUGGGCAACACUGGAACUGAGACACGGUCCAGACUCCUACGGGAGGCAGCGGUAGGGAAUCUUCCGCAAUGGGCGAAAGCCUGACGGAGCAACGCCGCGUGAGUGAUGAAGGUCUUCGGAUCGUAAAACUCUGUUAUUAGGGAAGAACAGAUGUGUAAGUACCUGUGCACAUCUUGACGGUACCCAAUCAGAAAGCCACGGCUAACUACGUG
rnacentral:rRNA from 1 species